rnacentral:rRNA from 1 species
UACGUAGGGUCCGAGCGUUGUCCGGAUUUACUGGGCGUAAAGCGCGUGUAGGCGGUUGGGUAAGUCUGCUGUGAAAGCUCCUCGCUUAACGGGGAGAGGUCGGUGGAAACUGCUCAACUUGAGGACGGUAGAGGGGGGUGGAAUUCCCGGUGUAGUGGUGAAAUGCGUAGAGAUCGGGAGGAACACCAGCGGCGAAGGCGGCCCCCUGGGCCGCUCCUGACGCUGAGACGCGAAGGCCAGGGUAGCGAACGGG